AAGAAACAGCAGCUCAAGUGCUCAACCCCUUCCUCCUUUGAAUCUCUGUAGGAGUAGGAUCCACACUAGUUGUUGUAGUCGGCCAAACCAUGAAAUUCUCACUGCAAUCAAAAUCCUCUUCAAAACCUAAACCUAAACCAAUCAAACCAAACUUCGAUGACGCCGGCAACAACAACGACCACCACGACUCCAAACAAUUACAAUACAUCACCGAAUUCGAUGCCUCGAAAACCCUAGCCCGCAGCAACCAACCCAAGAUUCCCGUUAUCCCUCCCAUCCCUAACCAAUGGAGGCCCCACAAGAGGAUGAAGAACCUCGACCUUCCCAUCACCUCCCAAUCCUCCGCCGCCUCCGGGGCCCUCUCAUUCGAGCUCGAAUCGCAGCCCCACGUCCCCGAUUCCAACAUCUCCUUCGGUCUCAAUCUCCGCGACAAAUCCGAAUACAAGGACGAUGAUGAACGCCCGCGAUCUACUGCUCCUGUUCCCGUGGAAGCGGUCAUGCUCCAGAAGCUCAAGGACGACCUCGAUAGGCUACCGGAGGAUCGCGGCAUGGAGGAGUUCGACGAUGUCCCCGUCGAGGGCUUCGGCGCCGCCUUGCUCGCCGGCUACGGAUGGCAAAAAGGUAGAGGGAUCGGGAGGAACGCCAAAGAGGACGUGAAAGUCAUUCAGUACGAGAAGCGGACCGACAAGCACGGCCUAGGGUUUCUCAGCUCCGACGAAAGAGACAAAGAGGAGGAGGCUAAAGCGAAAAGGCGCGAUACGGAAAGGAGGUCCUCCAAAGCUGGCAAAAAGAGUUCGCGUUCGAACGUAGAAGAAGAAGAGCCGAAGAAGGCAAAGGCGAAAAAGAGUGGACAAGUGGCGUGGCUGAAGAGUCACAUUCGGGUGAGGGUAAUAAGCAAGGAACUCAAAGGAGGAAGAUUGUACUUGAAGAAGGGGGAGGUUGUGGAUGUGGUUGGACCAACCACGUGUGAUAUAUCAAUGGACGAGAGCAGAGAGCUCGUUCAAGGGGUCUCCCAGGACCUUCUUGAGACGGCGCUCCCUCGCCGUGGGGGACCCGUGCUUGUUUUGUAUGGUAAGCACGAGGGGGUGUAUGGGAAUCUGGUUAGGAGGGAUUCGGAACAAGAAUCUGGCUUGGUUCAGGAUGCCAAUAACCACGAGUUGCUCCGUGUGCCACUCGAACAAAUUGCUGAGUAUAUUGGGGAUCCCAGCUGCCUUGGAUAUUGAUCAUUGUCUAGCUUAUGGUUUCUUUGCUGCGAGAUGUGCAUGAGAAUGAUCAGAGAUUGACGAUGUUACAAUUGGUUGACAAAAUGAAAAUAAAGCACAAACAAGGUUGGCUUUAUGUUCUAUUUCAUUCUCUUCUUUAUCAAAUACUACUGGGCAGGAUAUCAUGUAUAUGCAGAGCAAGACACCUGGACUUUUGUGGUAGAAGUUAAAGAGUAAUGCUACUCUUCACGCCAGAUUCACACCACUGAUGUGGCAGGUCCACCCAAUCAUGCCAUGUCAGCCACUUAAAAAAUUAAAAAAUUAAAAAAAUUCCCUUCCCCAUAGAGCCCCAAAUUUGUUCACUGCCGCCGUUGGUUUGACACUGCUGCUGACAUGCGACAUCGCUGCUCGUUCCACCCAAAUUUCAAGCCCCAGCUCUCUCACUCUCAAGCCACAUAUUUUGUGAAGACUGUGUACCAGAGUGGUUUGAGUGGGAACGAACGUGCCCGUUGUGCAGGGGGCUUUCGUUAAACCUGCUGAUCUCAAAUCAUUUGGUGAUGGAUCAACUAGUCUCUUUUUCCAGUUCUAAAUGACCUUGCUGUAAGCCAGUGAGUUUUUUCUGCUUUGAAGCUCUAAAUCCUUAUUCAAAGCAGCCUUCUCCUGAUCUCUUCGUCUACAGAAGUAAUUUAACCGUAUUUUGAUCUGCCUUGUUCAUGGGUUGCACUGGAAAGCUAGUUGAAGUGCCUGUCUACUAUUGAGUUGGCAAUAUGUUCAUAUGUUGUAUUGAGAAACGUGUCCGUAUCUUUUUUCCUGUAGGCUCCAUUAUAUCAUUAUUCUCCCCAAGGCAUAUAAUGUAUUGUUUCUCACAGUUUCACAAUUCGAAGUGGUUUUGAGAGGGACCUCAA